rnacentral:rRNA from 1 species
GCCCCGGUAAACGGCGGCCGUAACUAUAACGGUCCUAAGGUAGCGAAAUUCCUUGUCGGGUAAGUUCCGACCUGCACGAAUGGCGUAAUGAUGGCCAGGCUGUCUCCACCCGAGACUCAGUGAAAUUGAACUCGCUGUGAAGAUGCAGUGUACCCGCGGCAAGACGGAAAGACCCCGUGAACCUUUACUAUAGCUUGACACUGAACAUUGAGCCUUGAUGUGUAGGAUAGGUGGGAGGCUUUGAAGUGUGGACGCCAGUCUGCAUGGAGCCGACCUUGAAAUACCACCCUUUAAUGUUUGAUGUUCUAACGUUGGCCCGUAAUCCGGGUUGCGGACAGUGUCUGGUGGGUAGUUUGACUGGGGCGGUCUCCUCCUAAAGAGUAACGGAGGAGCACGAAGGUUGGCUAAUCCUGGUCGGACAUCAGGAGGUUAGUGCAAUGGCAUAAGCCAGCUUGACUGCGAGCGUGACGGCGCGAGCAGGUGCGAAAGCAGGUCAUAGUGAUCCGGUGGUUCUGAAUGGAAGGGCCAUCGCUCAACGGAUAAAAGGUACUCCGGGGAUAACAGGCUGAUACCGCCCAAGAGUUCAUAUCGACGGCGGUGUUUGGCACCUCGAUGUCGGCUCAUCACAUCCUGGGGCUGAAGUAGGUCCCAAGGGUAUGGCUGUUCGCCAUUUAAAGUGGUACGCGAGCUGGGUUUAGAACGUCGUGAGACAGUUCGGUCCCUAUCUGCCGUGGGCGCUGGAGAACUGAGGGGGGCUGCUCCUAGUACGAGAGGACCGGAGUGGACGCAUCACUGGUGUUCGGGUUGUCAUGCCAAUGGCACUGCCCGGUAGCUAAAUGCGGAAGAGAUAAGUGCUGAAAGCAUCUAAGCACGAAACUUGCCCCGAGAUGAGUUCUCCCUGACUCCUUGAGAGUCCUGAAGGAACGUUGAAGACGACGACGUUGAUAGGCCGGGUGUGUAAGCGCAGCGAUGCGUUGAGCUAACCGGUACUAAUGAACCGUGAGGCUUAACUUUACAACGCCGAAG